rfam:Hordeum vulgare subsp. vulgare, WGS project CAJW01000000 data, contig: morex_contig_334973
CCUCUCUCUGAUGACGACAUGGUGUCGUACAUCCUUGCUGGCCUUGACUUCGACUACAUGUCAUUUGUCUUCUCGGUCUCCGCCAGGACCGUCGCCAUCAAGCCCAACGAGCUCUACUCCCUGCUCACCAACUUCGAGAGU